rnacentral:RNase_P_RNA from 1 species
AGAGUAGGCGCAGGCGGUUGCAGACGUUCAGUCUGAGGAAAGUCCGGGCUCCCGAAAGACCAAACUUGCUGGGUAACGCCCAGUGCGGGUGACCGUGAGGAUAGUGCCACAGAAACAUACCGCCGAUGGUGUUGAGGCGUGCUCCGUUACGUCUGGCAUACAGGUAAGGGUGCAAGGGUGCGGUAAGAGCGCACCAGCAGCGUUGAGAGGCGCUGGCUCGGUAAACCCCGGUUGGGAGCAAGGCAGAAGGAGCUAAGGUUGGUCUUUUACCUGUUCCGGUAAGGGAUAUUUCCUUUACGAGUCCGCUUGAGGCGUUUGGUAACAAGCGUCCCAGAUAGAUAACUGCCCUCCUGCAAUAGGAGAACAGAACCCGGCUUAUGUCCGACUCCUCCC